rnacentral:misc_RNA from 1 species
GAUGAAGAACGUAGCGAAAUGCGAUAAGUAGUGUGAAUUGCAGAAUUCAGUGAAUCAUCGAAUCUUUGAACGCACAUUGCGCCCUUUGGUAUUCCUUAGGGCAUGCCUGUUCGAGCGUCAUUUAAACCUUCAAGCUAAGCUUGGUGUUGGGUGAUUGUCCGCUUCACGGCGGACUCGCCUCAAAAUUAUUGGCGGCCGGUACAUUGGCUUCGAGCGCAGCAGAAACGCGAACUCGGGCCCGUCGUAUUGGCUCCCAGAAGCUAUCUUCACAAUUUUGACCUCGGAUCAGGUAGGGAUACCCGCUGAACUUAAGCAUAUCAAUAAGCGGAGGA